rnacentral:rRNA from 1 species
AGUGAACGCUGGCGGUAGGCCUAACACAUGCAAGUCGAACGGCAGCACAGGAGAGCUUGCUCUCUGGGUGGCGAGUGGCGGACGGGUGAGGAAUACAUCGGAAUCUACCUUUUCGUGGGGGAUAACGUAGGGAAACUUACGCUAAUACCGCAUACGACCUACGGGUGAAAGUGGGGGACCGCAAGGCCUCACGCGAUUAGAUGAGCCGAUGUCCGAUUAGCUCGUUGGCGGGGUAAUGGCCCACCAAGGCGACGAUCGGUAGCUGGUCUGAUAGGAUGUUCAGCCAGACUGGAACUGAGACACGGUCCAGACUCCUACGGGAGGCAACAGUGGAGAAUAUUGGACAAUGGGCGCAAGCAUGAUCCAGCCAUACCGCGUGGGUGAAGAAGGCCUUCGUGUCGUAAAGCCCUUUUGUUGGGAAAGAAAUCCUGUCGGUUAAUACUCGGUGGGGAUGACGGUACCCAAAGAAUAAGCACCGGCUAACUUCGUGCCAGCAGCCGCCGUAACAC